rnacentral:rRNA from 1 species
GACGUAGGGGGCCAGCGUUGUUCGGAAUUACUGGGUGUAAGGGUUCGUAAGGCGGUGUGGCAAGGUCGGGAGUGAAAUCUCUGGGCUCAACCCAGAGUCUGCUUCCGAAACUGCUGUGCUUGAGUGUGGGAGAGGCGCGUGGAAUUCCCAGUGUAGAGGUGAAAUUCGUAGAUAUUGGGAAGAACACCGGUGGCGAAGGCGGCAUCCUGGACCGGCAUUGACGCUGAGGCGCGAAAGCUAGGGGAGCAAACGGGG